UUUCUUUCUUUUUUUUUUUUUUUUUUUGUGUGUGUGUGUGUGUGUGUGUUUGUUUUUGUUUUUGUUUUUGUUUUUGUUUUUGUUUUUGUUUUUCGAGACAGGGUUUCUCUGUGUAGCCCUGGCUGUCCUGGAACUCACUUUGUAGACCAGGCUGGCCUCAAACUCAGAAAUCCACCUGCCUCUGCCUCCCGAGUGCUGGGAUUAAAGGCGUGCGUCACCACGCCUGGCUUCCUGCCAUCUCCUCUUCUCUUCCUCUGCCUUCACAGCCCAAGCUAGCCUGUAACUCAGUCUUCCUGCCUGCGCCAGCCUUGCAAGUGCCAGGAUUGAUCAUGGCAUAUGCCACCACACUUAGCCUAAGUGUGUAAGUGCUGCACCGAUGAAUCUUCCAGCAGUGUUGACCAGAUCCUUUUUUUAAGAAACUGGGAAAUACUGCUCUACCUACCUUUUCUGUAUACUUGAAUAUAUAGGCUAUAUGCAGUUUUUUACAGAUUAAAAAUCUUCAUGAUCUAAAAUGAACCAUUUGAAAAUAUAUGGUUCUGUGCAUGUGCUGUGUACAGGUCUCUAGUAUUUUUGGCAGUUACAGUGUUGUGUGGUUGUUGCCACCAUAUAUAUACAAAGUUUUUGCCACCGAAGUAGAAAUUCUGUACUCAUUUAAACAACUCUAUCUAUUCCUUCCCGAGCCCCUGAGAAUUCUUUUCCAUGUUGUUUCUGGAUUUACUUUUUUCUAAGUGUUUCAGAUAAUGGAACUGGACAUUUUUUCCUUCUGUGCGUGACCCUUAUUUUGAACGUGGUCUUUGCAGUGCAUUUGUGCUACUGGCACGCUCUGGGUCUUCAUCCUUUCUGCGGUGGAGCACUAGUUUAGUGUGUGUGUACAUACUCCGUUGAUCUGUCUCUCUAUUAAUGGUCAGAUUUUUAUAAUUAAGUUUUCAUUUAUAUGUAUAGGAGUUUUGACUAUGUCUUUGUGCCAUGUGUGUAUGUAUCUACUAUCCAUGGGGUCUAGAGGAGGGCAUUGGUUCCUCUGGGACUGGAGUUACAGACAGCUGUGAGCUGCCAUGUGGAUGCUGGGAAUCGAACCUGGGUUUUUUGCAAAAGCAGCCAGUGCUCUUAGCUUAGUCAGUGCUUGACCCCUGAUUGACAGCUCUUAUUUUUAGUUUUUGACCAGUGUGAACAUUUAUGUGUAGACAUCUAUUUGAAACACCAUUUUACUUCUUUUGUAUAUACACCUAGGGGUGUGAUUUCUGGAUCGUAUUAAAGUUCUAUACUCAAUCAAGUUGUGAAAUUUAUAAAGCAAAACACAUUUUCAAAUGAAACUCUUUGUUUUCAUCAAAUAUAUUAAUGAUUAUUCUAGUUCCAAAUUCCUAGGGUGUGAGUAGCUCGAGGCUUUAAGGACUACCUGUUUGAGGAGAUGAGAGAAGGGAGAAAUCGGAUGGAGGCCCAGACUGCUAGGACCUCUACUGGCAUGCUGACAGGCUGCUCUAACAAGGAGAGAGAGCCUUGGUGGGCCAUGGAGCAAGAUGAGGAGGUGCCACAGGUGUGAAAGGCAAUAGCUUGGAAGGCCUAGGUGGCGGGGACAAAGCAAGCAUGCGGAUUUAUGCAGGUGGUUCCUUAUCAGGUUGCUGAGCUAAUCCAAAAUUGGCGAUAGUCUGGAUUCAUUCAUUCAUACUCUCUCCUUACCUUCCCCUGCUCUCUCAGCGAAACUUAAUUAGAAAUAUGUAGUAAAUAUAUUCCAAGCUGGCACUGUGUAUAAGUGCUGCACCGAUGAGUCUUUCAGCAGUGUUGGAACCCUGGCAGAUGCAGUUAAUAAUGGGAAUGUUAUGAAUCCUUACACUGUUUGCUGCUGUUUGUAUUAUUGUAGUGAAUGCUAUUUAUUUUCCAUUUCUGAUUGGUUUCCAUUUGAUAAUCAUAUUUUCUUACUGUAAAACUAUAGUGUUUUUAUCCAGUAACAUGGAAGAUUUUUAAUAACAACAUUUUAUUUACAUUUUAAGUAUAAAAAUUAAACACAUGGGGGAAUUUGCAGCUUUAUAACUUUAAACAAUUUUUAAAGAAUCAUGAUAGUAGGCUCCCUAAAUCCCAGGCAAGAUGGGAUUGAUUUCAUGUCUUUUCCUAGAGCAUUGGCUGCAAAAACCCAACUGGCCAUUUAAAUGUACUGAGG
rnacentral:lncRNA from 1 species